AUGGGAAUUCCUGGCAGGGAAAAACCCAAAAUCCAAGGAAAAUCCCCCAAAUCCAAGGAAAAUUCCCAAAUCCAUGGGAUUCCAGCAGGAAAAUCCCCCAAAAUCUGGGAAUUCUGGGCAGGAAAAACUCCAAAUCCAAGGAAAAUUCCCAAAUUCCUGGAAUUCCAGCAGGAAAAACCCCCAAAUCCAAGGAAAAUCCCCCAAAAUCUGGGAAUUCCCAACAGGAAAACCCCAAAAUCUGGGAAUUCCAGCAGGGAAAACCCAAAUCCAAGGAAAAUCCCCCAAAAUCUGGGAAUUCCUGGCAGGAAAAAUCCAAAAUCCAAGGAAAAUUCUCCAAAUCCAAGGAAAAUUCCCAAAUCCAUGGAAUUCCAGCAGGAAAAACCCCAAAAAUCUGGGAAUUCCUGGCAGGAAAGACCCCAAAAUCCAAGGAAAAUUCCCCAAAAUCUGGGAAUUCUCUGUGGGAAAAACCUCAAAAUCCAAGGAAAAUUCCCAAAUCCAUGGAAUUCCAGCAGGAAAAACCACAAAAUCCAAGGAAAAUCCCCCAAAAUCUGGGAAUUCUGGGCAGGAAAAACCCAAAAUCCAAGGAAAAUCCCCCAAAUCCAAGGAAAAUUCCCAAAUCCAUGGGAUUCCAGCAGGAAAAUCCCCCAAAAUCUGGGAAUUCUGGGCAGGAAAAACUCCAAAUCCAAGGAAAAUUCCCCAAAAUCUGGGAAUUCCUGGCAGGGAAAACUCCAAAUCCAAGGAAAAUUCCCCAAAAUCUGGGAAUUCCUGGCAGGGAAAACUCCAAAUCCAAGGAAAAUUCCCAAAUCCAUGGAAUUCCAGCAGGAAAAACCCCAAAAUCCAAGGAAAAUCCCCCAAAAUCUGGGAAUUCCGGGCAGGAAAAACCCAAAAUCCAAGGAAAAUUCCCAAAUUCCUGGAAUUCCAGCAGGAAAAACCCCCAAAUCCAAGGAAAAUCCCCCAAAAUCUGGGAAUUCCCAACAGGAAAACCCCAAAAUCUGGGAAUUCCAGCAGGGAAAACCCAAAUCCAAGGAAAAUCCCCCAAAAUAUGGGAAUUCCUGGCAGGAAAAACCCAAAAUCCAAGGAAAAUCCCCCAAAUCCAAGGAAAAUUCCCAAAUCCAUGGAAUUCCAGCAGGAAAACCCCAAAAAUCUGGGAAUUCUGGCAGGAAAAACCCCAAAAUCCAAGGAAAAUUCCCAAAUUCCUGGAAUUCCAGCAGGAAAAUCCCCCAAUCCCUGGAAAAUUCCUGGAAUUCCCUGCCGGGGUUGAACUCCAGGAUCCGGGAAAAGCUGGAAAAAUCCUUUCCCGGUUUUUUUUUUUUCCCGGGAAAUUCCCGUUUUUCCCUUCGUUCCCUGGGAAGGCGACGCGAGNNNNNNNNNNNNNNNNNNNNUCUGGGAAUUCUGGGCAGGAAAAACCCAAAAUCCAAGGAAAAUCCCCCAAAAUCUGGGAAUUCCUGGCAGGAAAAACUCCAAAAUCCAAGGAAAAUUCCCAAAUUCCUGGAAUUCCAGCAGGAAAAUCCCCAAAAUCCAAGGAAAAUCCCCCAAAAUCUGGGAAUUCCCAACAGGAAAACCCCAAAAUCUGGGAAUUCCAGCAGGGAAAAAAACCCAAAUCCAAGGAAAAAACCCCAAAAUCUGGGAAUUCUGGGCAGGAAAAACCCAAAAUCCAAGGAAAAUCCCCCAAAUCCAAGGAAAAUUCCCAAAUCCAUGGGAUUCCAGCAGGAAAAUCCCCCAAAAUCUGGGAAUUCUGGGCAGGAAAAACUCCAAAUCCAAGGAAAAUUCCCAAAUUCCUGGAAUUCCAGCAGGAAAAUCCCCCAAAUCCAAGGAAAAUCCCCCAAAAUCUGGGAAUUCCCAACAGGAAAACCCCAAAAUCUGGGAAUUCCAGCAGGAAAAACCCAAAAUCCAGGGAAAAUCCCCCAAAAUAUGGGAAUUCCUGGCAGGGAAAAACCCAAAAUCCAAGGAAAAUCCCCCAAAUCCAAGGAAAAUUCCCAAAUCCAUGGGAUUCCAGCAGGAAAACCCCCAAAAUCUGGGAAUUCUGGGCAGGAAAAACAAAUCCAAGGAAAAUCCCCCAAAUCCAAGGAAAAUUCCCAAAUCCAUGGGAUUCCAGCAGGAAAACCCCCAAAAUCUGGGAAUUCUGGGCAGGAAAAACCCCAGAAUCCAAGGAAAAUUCCCAAAUUCCUGGAAUUCCAGCAGGAAAAUCCCCCAAUCCCUGGAAAAUUCCUGGAAUUCCCUGCCGGGGUUGAACUCCAGGAUCCGGGAAAAGCUGGAAAAAUCCUUUCCCGGUUUUUUUUUUUUCCCGGGAAAUUCCCGUUUUUCCCUUCGUUCCCUGGGAAGGCGACGCGAGGCCUGGAGGAGCUGCUGGCGGUUCCGGAAUGUUCCGCAGCCGUCCUGGAAAAAUUGCCGCGGCUUUUCCGGAGUCUCCUGGUGCGGCUCGGCUGCUCCGCGGGCGUCCGGGCCCCCAGAUCCCUGCAGGGGAAGGAGAAAGGGGGAAAAGAGGCCUGGGGGUAG
ensembl:lncRNA